rnacentral:rRNA from 1 species
AUUGAACGCUGGCGGCAGGCCUAACACAUGCAAGUCGAGCGGAUGAAGGGAGCUUGCUCCUGGAUUCAGCGGCGGACGGGUGAGUAAUGCCUAGGAAUCUGCCUGGUAGUGGGGGAUAACGUCCGGAAACGGGCGCUAAUACCGCAUACGUCCUGAGGGAGAAAGUGGGGGAUCUUCGGACCUCACGCUAUCAGAUGAGCCUAGGUCGGAUUAGCUAGUUGGUGGGGUAAAGGCCUACCAAGGCGACGAUCCGUAACUGGUCUGAGAGGAUGAUCAGUCACACUGGAACUGAGACACGGUCCAGACUCCUACGGGGGGCAGCAGUGGGGAAUAUUGGACAAUGGGCGAAAGCCUGAUCCAGCCAUGCCGCGUGUGUGAAGAAGGUCUUCGGAUUGUAAAGCACUUUAAGUUGGGAGGAAGGGCAGUAAGUUAAUACCUUGCUGUUUUGACGUUACCAACAGAAUAAGCACCGGCUAACUUCGU